UACGGAGGGAGCUAGCGUUGUUCGGAAUUACUGGGCGUAAAGCGCGCGUAGGCGGCUUUGUAAGUUAGAGGUGAAAGCCCGGGGCUCAACCCCGGAAUUGCCUUUAAGACUGCAUCGCUUGAAUCCGGGAGUGGUGAGUGGAAUUCCGAGUGUAGAGGUGAAAUUCGUAGAUAUUCGGAAGAACACCAGUGGCGAAGGCGGCUCACUGGACCGGCAUUGACGCUGAGGUGCGAAAGCGUGGGGAGCAAACAGG
rnacentral:rRNA from 1 species